AUUGUUCGCAAUGGGCGCAAGCCUGACGACGCAACGCCGCGUGGAGGAUGAAGAUCUUCGGGUCGUAAACUCCUGUCGAGCGGGACGAACACUUUUCGGGUGAACAGCCCGGGGAGCUGACGGUACCGCUAAAGGAAGCCCCGGCUAACUCCGUGCCAGCAGCCGCGGUAAUACAGAGGGUGCGAGCGUUAAUCGGAAUUACUGGGCGUAAAGGGUGCGUAGGUGGUUUGAUAAGUCAGAUGUGAAAUCCCCGGGCUUAACCUGGGAAUUGCAUUUGAUACUGCCAAACUAGAGUGUGAUAGAGGUAAGCGGAAUUCCCGGUGUAGCGGUGAAAUGCGUAGAUAUCGGGAGGAACAUCAGUGGCGAAGGCGGCUUACUGGAUUAACACUGACACUGAGGCACGAAAGCGUGGGUAGCAAAC
rnacentral:rRNA from 1 species